rnacentral:rRNA from 1 species
UACGAAGGGGGCUAGCGUUGCUCGGAAUCACUGGGCGUAAAGCGCACGUAGGCGGGCUCUUAAGUCGGUGGUGAAAUCCUGGAGCUCAACUCCAGAACUGCCUUCGAUACUGAGAGUCUCGAGUCCGAGAGAGGUGAGUGGAACUGCGAGUGUAGAGGUGAAAUUCGUAGAUAUUCGCAAGAACACCAGUGGCGAAGCGGCUCACUGGCUCGGUACGUGACGCUGAGGUGCUAAACGUGGGGA